rnacentral:rRNA from 1 species
UACGUAGGGUGCGAGCGUUAAUCGGAAUUACUGGGCGUAAAGCGUGCGUAGGUGGUUUCUUAAGUCCGUUGUGAAAGCCCUGGGCUCAACCUGGGAACUGCAGUGGAUACUGCUGGGCUGGAGCACUGUAGAGGCAGGCGGAAUUCCGGGUGUAGCGGUGGAAUGCGUAGAGAUCCGGAAGAACACCGGUGGCGAAGGCGGCCUGCUGGGCAGUUGCUGACACUGAGGCGCGACAGCGUGGGGAGCAAACAGG